GGAAGUGUGGCCGAGAGGUUUAAAGCGUUGGCUUGCUAAGCCAUUGUGUUUUUUUAAAGCACCGGAGGUUCGAAUCCUUUCACUUCCG
rfam:Daphnia pulex DAPPTscaffold_6941_Cont17138, whole genome shotgun sequence.